UCUCCGUAGGUGAACCUGCGGAGGGAUCAUUACUGAGUGAGGGCUUCGGUCCGACCUCCAACCCUUUGUGAACCAAACUUGUUGCUUCGGGGGCGACCCUGCCGCUUCGGCGGUGCGGCGCACCCGGAGGCCAUUAAACACUGCAUCAUUGCGUCGGAGUUAAAGUAAAUUAACCAAAACUUUCAACACCGGAUCUCUUGGUUCCAUCAUCGAUGUAGAACGCAGC
rnacentral:misc_RNA from 1 species